GCACUGCUGAGGAGUCUCAUAAUAGGACGAAACAGCCGUCAAGCGGUGC
rnacentral:hammerhead_ribozyme from 1 species